rnacentral:pre_miRNA from 1 species
AGUCUUGUUUGUUAGCCAAGGAUGACUUGCCUACAUCUUGCAAGAGAGCUUUGAUUAGGGAAGCUGUUCUCAUCGAUAGACGCUCACGACUGUAGGGUGACAAGGCAGGUCAUCCUGGCUUACCUAACGUGCUCU